rnacentral:rRNA from 1 species
CUGCACCUCAAGUGGUCAGGAUGAUUAUUGGGCCUAAAGCAUCCGUAGCCGGCGCUGUAAGUUUUCGGUUAAAUCUGUACGCUCAACGUACAGGCUGCCGGGAAUACUGCAGCGCUAGGGAGUGGGAGAGGUAGACGGUACUCGGUAGGAAGGGGUAAAAUCCUUUGAUCUAUUGAUGACCACCUGUGGCGAAGGCGGUCUACCAGAACACGUCCGACGGUGAGGGAUGAAAGCUGGGGGAGCAAAACGGAUUAGAUACCCGAGUAGUCC